rnacentral:lncRNA from 1 species
UAAAGGGACACUGCUUAUUUCCAUAAAAAAGUAAAUGGGAGGAAAAGAAAGAAUAGUAUUUCUAUCAAGGAAGAUGGUGAGAAAUCUAUACAUUCUCCAAAAGAGCUAAGAGAGCAUAUCACUUCAUACUAGAAAGUGGAUUUGGGAGAGUAGAGUGAAGCAAUGUUCACUUACGGCAUGAUAUCUGGGAUAUCACUGGGUGCUUAUCUAAUGAAGAAGCUGAGGCCCUCAUUCAACCUUUUAGUAUGGAGGAAAUAGAUAAGGUGGUGAAAUGCAAAUCAGGAACAGAAUACCGAGUAAAGGUGGAUACAGAGAAAGCAGAUAGAAAGCUUUUUCCUUUC